rnacentral:rRNA from 1 species
AAGGAUCAUUACCGAGUGCGGGCCCUCUGGGUCCAACCUCCCAUCCGUGUCUAUCUGUACCCUGUUGCUUCGGCGUGACCACGGCCCGCCGAAGACUAACAUUUGAACACUGUCUGAAGUUUGCAGUCUGAGUUUUUAGUUAAACAAUAAUUAAAACUUUCAACAACGGAUCUCUUGGUUCCGGCAUCGAUGAAGAACGCAGCGAAAUGCGAUAAUUAAUGUGAAUUGCAGAAUUCAGUGAAUCAUCGAGUCUUUGAACGCACAUUGCGCCCCCUGGUAUUCCGGGGGGCAUGCCUGUCCGAGCGUCAUUGCUGCCCUCAAGCACGGCUUGUGUGUUGGGCUUCCGUCCCUGGUAACGGGGACGGGCCCAAAAGGCAGUGGCGGCACCAUGUCUGGUCCUCGAGCGUAUGGGGCUUUGUCACCCGCUCCCGUAGGUCCAGCUGGCAGCUAGCCUCGCAACCAAUCUUUUUAACCAGGUUGACCUCGGAUCAGGUAGGGAUACCCGCUGAACUUAA